rnacentral:rRNA from 1 species
GAUGAACGCUAGCGGGAGGCCUAAUACAUGCAAGUCGAACGGUAACAGGUAGCAAUACGCUGACGAGUGGCGCACGGGUGAGUAACACGUACACAAUCUGCCUAUAACUGGGGCAUAACUUCGGGAAACUGAAGCUAAUUCCCCAUAACACUGUAGAAAGGCAUCUUUCAGCAGUUAAAGCUCAGGCGGUUAUAGAUGAGUGUGCGUUUGAUUAGCUAGUUGGUGAGGUAAUGGCUCACCAAGGCUACGAUCAAUAACUGGUCUGAGAGGAUGAUCAGUCACACGGGCACUGAGACACGGGCCCGACUCCUACGGGAGGCAGCAGUAGGGAAUGUUGGACAAUGGAGGCAACUCUGAUCCAGCCAUCCCGCGUGAAGGAUUAAGGCCCUAUGGGUUGUAAACUUCUUUUCUCUGGGAAUAAAAACUGGGAUUCUUCUUAGCUUGAAGGUACCAGAGGAAUAAGCACCGGCUAACUCCGUGCCAGCCGCCGCUGUAAAAC